ACGGAGGAUCCGAGCGUUAUCCGGAUUUAUUGGGUUUAAAGGGAGCGUAGGUGGAUUGUUAAGUCAGUUGUGAAAGUUUGCGGCUCAACCGUAAAAUUGCAGUUGAAACUGGCAGUCUUGAGUACAGUAGAGGUGGGCGGAAUUCGUGGUGUAGCGGUGAAAUGCUUAGAUAUCACGAAGAACUCCGAUUGCGAAGGCAGCUCACUAGACUGUUACUGACACUGAUGCUCGAAAGUGUGGGUAUCAAACAG
rnacentral:rRNA from 1 species